rnacentral:rRNA from 1 species
UACGGGGGGAGCAAGCGUUGUUCGGAUUUACUGGGCGUAAAGGGCGCGUAGGCGGCACUGCAAGUCAGUUGUGAAAUCUCCGGGCUUAACCCGGAAAGGUCAACUGAUACUGCAGGGCUAGAGUGCAGAAGGGGCAACUGGAAUUCUCGGUGUAGCGGUGAAAUGCGUAGAUAUCAGGAGGAACACCAAUAGCGAAGGCAGCUCGCUGGGACGGUACUGACGCUAAGGCGCGAAAGCGUGGGGAGCAAACAGG